rnacentral:lncRNA from 1 species
UAGGCGAACCCUCCGGGAGUUUGCCGAUCGUGGUCGCUGCUGCUCUCUUGCCAAAUGGCUCACACACAGGACGGCACUCAAAUAACGAAUCACUGUGGGCGUUAUGUAGCC